CUGAUGUGAAAGCCCCCCCGCUCUCCCGCGGAGGGGCAUUGGAGACUGGGGGACUUGAGUGCGCAAAAAAAGAGAGGAAUUCCCCGUGUAGCGGUGAAAUGCGUAUAGAUGUGGAGGAACACCCCUGGCGAAAGCGGCUCUUUGGUCUGUAACUGACGCUGAGGCGCGAAAGCGUGGGGAGCAAACAGGAUUAUAUACCCUGGUAGUCCACGCCGCUGACGAUGAGUGCUAAGUGUUAGAGGGUUUCCGCCCCUCCUUGCUGCAGCAAACGCAUUAUGCACUCCGCCUGGGGAGUACGGCCGCAAGACUGAAACUCAUAGGAAUUGACGGGGGCCCGCACACGCGGUGGA
rnacentral:rRNA from 1 species